CCAGCCUUAGCUCAGUUGGAAGAGCAGCUGACUGUAGUAUCUUAUAUACUAAAUCAAAGUCAUCAGCGGGUCACCCGUUCGAAUCGGGUAGGCUGGA
rfam:Ostreococcus tauri virus OtV5, complete genome.